rnacentral:rRNA from 1 species
CACGUAGGGGGCAAGCGUUGUCCGGAUUUAUUGGGCGUAAAGAGCUCGUAGGUGGUUCGGUAAGUCGGGUGUUAAACCCCCAGGCUCAACCUGGGGACGCCACUCGAUACUGCUGUGACUAGAGUCCGGUAGGGGAGCGUGGAAUUCCUGGUGUAGCGGUGAAAUGCGCAGAUAUCAGGAGGAACACCGGUGGCGAAGGCGGGUCUCUGGGCCGUAACUGACGCUGAGGAGCGAAAGCAUGGGGAGCGAACAGG